rnacentral:tRNA from 1 species
GUCUCAAGGGAUAGUUCAGCCGGUACAGCAUGAGAUUCUUAAUCUCAGGGUGGUGGGUUUGAGCCCCACAUUGGACA